rnacentral:lncRNA from 1 species
UUCAAGGGUAAAGAAUCACUAAAUCUUUACUUCUCUUUAAUUUUGUUAAAGAGUUUAUUUUGGUUCACCCAAGUGGGAUAUCCUAAAGAAACUAUGGGUUAUGUCGACCAGAAAGUAAGAUGAAGCGAGAUCAGUAAGAUGUUUUUUUAUGGGAUAUCCUAAAGAAACUAUGGGAUAUGAGUUCUACCAUCCUGACGACCAGAAAGUCUUUGUCGCCAGAACU